CAAUGUGAGGGCGAUCUGGCUGCGACAUCUGUCACCCCAUUGAUCGCCAGGGUUGAUUCGGCUGAUCUGGCUGGCUAGGCGGGUGUCCCCUCCCUCCCUCACUGCUCCAUGUGCGUCCUUCCCGAAGCUGCGCACUCGGUGGAAGAGGACAACAUCUCAGGUAUAGAAAAGUACAAUGGAAGCUGCACUUAGAGAAUUUGGGAGAAUUUGAUGCAGGGACAGCGGGGCAAAUCAUCAAGAAGUGAUAGCAUACCAAUGGAGGUCUUUU
rnacentral:snRNA from 11 species